AAGGGUGAAGGGGAGGGCAAUUUACCGAUUACCCUUAAUUGAAGACGAUGACUUAACGCGGUCGUAUAACCGCCUCGGAUGCCCGGAAUCGCAAUAAACGAUCUGUUCUGCAGCGUCGGCACGGGCUACGUGACUUCGACGACAGCUCGAUUAAACGAGAAAAGUAUUUUAUGCGAGAAGCGGCACGUAUCUCGCCGCGCCCCGGCUAUUUCCUUGGCAUCGCGCGUUCGCCAAAGUGAUUCGAACGAUCACCGUUUCUCUAUCGCUUUUUUCCUACGACGCGUCGCGCCGUACUCUCGUCGAACGCCACCCUCGUCGUCGUGUACCAGAGAUUCGACUCGCGUGUAUACAUCGACGCGCAACGAAUCACACGUUCUACCUUCUUUCCUUCUUGGUGAACGAGCAGGCGUUCGAAUUUCGUCGGCGUGAUUGAAGCGAUUCGAUCGAUUCAAGGUAAAUAGGAUACGUUGCUCUGUGACAGAAGCGUUGUUUGUGGAAGUGAGAAAGUGUCUGUCUCGAAUGAGACCGUUCGUAGCGUAUAUCGGCGAGAAGAUCGUUGAGAGAUAUCAACGCGAAGCUGCAAAGAGGCGGAAAAAAGUAACAAACGCUAAGUAUGCGCAUCUAAAUAUCUCAAAAUCUCGACUAACGUUUACAUCUCGAAUAUCUUUCGACGUAUCACACCACGAGAAACUUUUUCAUUUGUGGAUUGUACGGUUGUGAACAGUUCGCACGAUGAACGGCGAGUUUCUUUUUUGCUUUUUGCCGCAGCUUCCAAGGGUCUCUUCGUUUUUUCCUCUUGUACUUUUUACUAAAAAUUGCACAGUAGCUCGGUCGGAAUGCGUAUGCUCCGGAACUAUAGCGUCUCGAGUUACCUGGCCAUGCUGACUAAAAAGACGAGCGAGGCAAAAAAUCGUUUAUUAACGUGUGAACUUUGUGGAAUAACGUAGCGUGCUAUUAAAGAAACUUUGCUCGAACGAAACAUAAAGAAGAGGGGUAGUUAACCUGUCAAUUAUUUCUAAGAGGCUUACAUCCGAGGUCUUUUCAUUUUCGACCAAGCCAUGUUAAAACGCCUUUUCUCCAUCGUAAGCUGUGAAGCUUAGGCGACGUUAUCCAAGAACGGAGCUGAACGAGUAGAGAGUUGAAAGACGACGUUGGUCCAUGGAGAACGCGGAAGAUCCAAUUUCCCGGACUGGCGAACGAGAGUGGGAUAUAGAAAGGACGCGAUUCAUUGUACUUCGUUUUUGAAACAGCGAACUUCAAAUCAAUAUAAUGUAUAUGUGCAAUAAUACACGUACUUAAAUGAAUGAUUAUAAUUAUAGUGAUUGCAACAAAAAGAAAUAGCUACAGACACGUACGUAUCUUUUAUAUAGAUAUACGAUAAAUAUUUAUUUCCAUCUCAGUGAAAGUUAACGUUAAUUGACUUAUGAUAAUCGUAUUUAGUUAAGUUUAUUCUACUGUGGACUAAUUAGAUUACCCUGUACAGUUAACAAAAUCUGUAUUAAUAAUACUUCAAACUAUAUUUCUAUCUUUAUUCUCCAAUUCUGGCUCGCUGUAUUAUUUCUCCCUUAUAAUUGUUUCAAUAAAUGGAGUGACAUUAAAUUAUCGUACAAUCCCCUUGGCGAAGUACACGAAAUGAUACAAUCCCCGUCUACAAAUGACACAUAUUACUUGAUAUCUAAUGGCCCAUAAAAAUAAAAAUAGAAGAGGGGAAUAAUGAAAGGCAGCAGGGUAUAGUAAAGUAAAUAACACUAUCAAGGAACGAGGAAUAAACCGAGUAAAAAGUAGAGGUAAACUAAUUGUUUAAAGCAAAGACAGCUAAAAAAUAGUAAGCUACCGUAGAAAAGAAGAAUUCGGAGAAUAAGAAUAAAAAAGGGAAAAGUAGAAUAAAAAUCCGGCUCCUUAUACAUCUAGAAAAUGUAAUGGAUAAAAAAAGAUAGUUCCAUAAUUCAGAUACAAAAGCGACAGCGUUAAAACUAAUCGUUUUAGACCAACUUUUACACAUGCUGUACACACGCGCGCACAACUUUAUCAUCAUACUACAUACACGUCACCACGAACGAUGUUAUAUCCAGGGAAGAGAAAAGAAAACAGAUCGAUAAAAAACAAUGAGUAUAUACUAAGGAUAAAAAGUAAAAGAGGAAAAUCAUAAAUUACGUUGACAUUGGAUAGCGUAAUCGCACGAUCGGGCACGAAAGUUCGCAGGUCCGAUCAACAGCAUGCGAGCGAGCUCAAUAAUUUUCCCAGUUAACAGGAGAACUGGAAUUUAAGCGUUACAUAAAAUGGAUUUACAAACGCGUAUUAUUUCAUUAUGUAACUCCUGUGUCGCGUCGGCAAAGUACAACGUGGAAAAUAUAUCCGCGUUAAUCCCAUAAAUUCGAGACCGACGAAAUCCGCCCCACCGUCAAGUUGAAAUUUGAAUUACCACCGACGAAUAUCUGUAAACGUGUUAUUUUAUGGUAAUGCUGAAACGCGUCUACAAAAGGAAUACCGUUGACCGGAUAAAUCGACGUCCUUUGCCAUUUCUGUUUGUUCUCGAAUUUAUAUCGAUACUGGACCACCAAUCGUUAAAAUACAAAAUUUCAGCCAAAGAGAUCGAAAUGAAAAGUACCUGAAAAAAUGUAUAAUGAAGAAAACGCGGACGUUUAUGCAUUUAUGGGAAGUUUCAAGGAAUUGCAUUGCUCAUGGGGUGGUACAAUUUGCAUAUAAAAUACCCGAAAGGAAGUACUUACUUGUUACAACAAACACGAGGACCAAAUUUAAUAACGACACAAUUUUGGUAAUACGCGAUUGAUUAACAAACUAUUGGAUUCUAAAAUUUCUCUUAUACGAAAAAGAAAGAAUGUGACUUAUCGUGUAUUUUCACGUGAACUUCGUAUACGACAAAUCGUCGAGAAUGAUUAAAAGUACAUCGCUGAAAAUUAAAAAAAUUUGUUUAAAAAGUGACGUUUCUCGAUUUUGCUAGCACGUGAACGGGCAAAUACGAGUAUUUAGCGAUUCGACAAGAAAGAAGGAAGAAAAGGAGAAAAAGAAAGAGUAGCGAGUUCGAGCGAGGUGAAUACGGUUGGUCGCAUUUUCGCGCAUAAAGAUUUCCGUGAAAAGCGGAGCGCUCGUUUUCAACGGGCAAAGCAAGAUGCAACGAACGAAGGGUUCUAAGAAUGGAACUGACACCUGGAGAAGUAUGGCAGAAAAAAGUGUGUUGAAGACAAAGAAUAAGGUAAGAAGUAUGGGGUGAGACGAAUACAAGUUUCAAAGAGUCUGACUGUCAUUACUGUUAAGCACACAAACAAGAGACUGUCCGCGAAGAUGGAUCCGAUCUCCCUUUGGAACUUCGGUCUGGUUGUGCUCCGCGAGGUGUCAUGGACGGAAAUAUAAUCUGGUUUAACGUGUCUGUAUUAAGUAUGAAAAUAACUACACGAAGUAAAGAUAUAGGACGCGUAGGUGGUUAAGCCUCGUUUACAUUACUCAAGCUAUUUGAAUUCAAGCAAUACGAGCACGUUUUAUCAAUGCGAAUUUCAAAUCGGUUGAAUCGAAGUAAUUUGACUAAUCCAGACGAGGCUUUAAUGUCAGAAUUUUUUCUUAUAAUGUCAUUGGUGAACUACAUUUUUGUUCGAAGAAUGAUAGUUGUAAAUAAUUAAGCAUAUCUUAAUGGUCUUAGCAAGGGUGCUUAACAUUAGACUUAGAUUUUUAUAAAUAUAAUUAAAAAAUCAGAUUCUAAACAGGGAUUUGUUGCGUCAUUUAAAUAUCACAGCUACUCCCUUAGUUUAAAUAUUUUGUACACUCCUGUACAAUAUGCGUGUUCUGUAAAUAACUACAUAUUUAAAUUUUCAAUUUCCAUCUAGCGAUUACUUUUUAUCACAUAGAAUUCCAACUUUUAAAUAAUUCUCCGUUAAAUAACGAUGUCUAGAAAAAUUCAUUCGUUUUAUCGACAAUGAGAAAUAUUUCGUGAUAUAUCAAUUUUCCCAACAUCAUCUGCCUUUCUACUUUUAUGUACGAGAUAUUACGAAGAAAAUGUGUACUCUUGUUCAUAAAACAGAUGCGUCUAUGUUCUACUUAAAUGUAUUACUGUACAUAAGAAAAAUUGAGAUUAUAGGAAAAUAAAUUUUACAGCGUCGCAUA